UCCCUGGUGGCUCAGAUGGUAAAGCGUCUGCCUGCAAUGCAGGAGACUCAGGUUUGAUCCCUGAGUUGGGAA
rnacentral:tRNA from 1 species